rnacentral:lncRNA from 1 species
CCCCAGGGAUAAUAUUAGGCCAUGAAUCACCCCAUGGUGUUGCCAACACCUUCAUGCUUGCAGGAAGCCGUUGGCAAGGCAAAAAAAGGGGAAGGAAGGCACACUGCAAGGCUGCGGUAGGGGCUCCCAGUAGAGGAUGGAGGCGAAAGGAGUGGGGCACGGGGGACUCUGCCUUGCUGCGCUCUGUGUGGGUGUCGCGUUCGCCCUCAAAGGAGAUGGGCCAGGGGACAGCAACAUCACCCAGCAGAGUGAUAUCUCAGAGGGAGCUCCCACCACAACCACCAGGGAUGUAAGUGGGAUGACAACGGGACCAACGGGCUCCCCCAGCCCCUCUGGUACUGGGAACCCCACCACCAUCACUGUGCCACUGCAAGCAGGUGCCCCAGGGAACCAAACCCGUGAGUCCUAUGGAGAGGAGAUGUAGCUCGGGGAUGCACCACUGCCCUGGAGUGUCCUGCAGCCCCCAGAGACCCUGGUGCACUGUCAUGGGCAGGGAGCCCUCAGCUCUUGUCUCUUUCCAUAGGAAAUGAAUGGGGUUUUCCCAUCAGGUACUGGACCCCCAUCAUUUUUGUGGUCAUUGCUUUGCUCGUGCUCUUCUUCACCUACCGCAGGACCAAAAGCAACGGUGAGCUGUUGUGUUGGGGCAAUGGCACCACCCAGGCUUCACAGGAAAGGGUGUUGGCAACCUCAGAGCACCACAAAAUGCAUCAAAGCAUCACCUCCCCUGGGACGGCUGUUCCUGCUCAGUUUGGCACCAUUUGGGCCGCCCUGUUUUGGCCUCAACACAGAGCCAAGCAAAUCCCAAACCACCUUCCCAGCUCAUCCCAAGGAAAACCUGGUUUUCCAGGUUGUUUUUCUUCUUUUUUUUUUCCAGCCUCCUUAUUGUAACAUGUGUGUCUCCCUUAUCCCACAGGGACACCAGAGGCAACCACCUCCAUCAGUGAUUUUUCAGGUGAGAUUUCAGCUGGUUUCUUGCUGGAACAUUCUUUACCCAUUCCUACUGCUUGGAUUCACCUCCACUCACUCCAUUACAGAUGUGGCUGACCCAGAAAACGACACAGCUCUGAUUGUCCCUGCUGCUCAGAAGAGAUCAGACAACCCACUGCCCCAGGAGCUGAGCAAGACCACCCCCAGCCUGCCAGCCCCCCCCUCAGAACAGCCUUCCCAGCAGCCCACAGACCCCACCACUGCAGGCAGUCCCCUCUGCUCUGGGGUUCCUGUUGAUGACUGA